rnacentral:rRNA from 1 species
UGGGGGGUCUUACCAUGCAGUCGACGGACUGGACUUAGCAAUAGGUGAAGGUUAGUGGCGAACGGGUGAGUAACGCGUAGACAACCUGCCUCAAAGAUGGGGACAACGUUUCGAAAGGAACGCUAAUACCGAAUGUUGUAUAUGAAGUGCAUACUUUAUAUACGAAAGGUGGCCUCUAUAUACAAGCUACCGCUUUGAGAUGGGUCUGCGUCUGAUUAGCUAGUUGGUGAGGUAAUGGCUCACCAAGGCUUCGAUCAGUAGCCGGUCUGAGAGGAUGAACGGCCACACUGGGACUGAGACACGGCCCAGACUCCUACGGGAGGCAGCAGUGGGGAAUCUUCCGCAAUGGACGAAAGUCUGACGGAGCAACGCCGCGUGAGUGAAGAAGGUUUUCGGAUCGUAAAGCUCUGUCUUUGGGGACGAACGUGCUUUUUAUAAAUAAUGAAAAGUAAUGACGGUACCUGAGGAGGAAGCCACGGCUAACUACGUGCCAGCAGCCGCGGUAAUACGUAGGUGGCAAGCGUUGUCCGGAAUUAUUGGGCGUAAAGAACGCGUAGG